rnacentral:rRNA from 1 species
UAGGGAAUCUUCGGCAAUGGGGGGAACCCUGACCGAGCAACGCCGCGUGAGUGAAGAAGGUUUUCGGAUCGUAAAGCUCUAUUGUUAAGGAAGAACGAGUGUGAGAAUGGAAAGUUCAUGCUGUGACGGUACUUAACCAGAAAGGGACGGCUAACUACGUGCCAGCAGCCGCGGUAAUACGUAGGUCCCGAGCGUUGUCCGGAUUUAUUGGGCGUAAAGCGAGCGCAGGCGGUUAGAAAAGUCUGAAGUGAAAGGCAGUGGCUCAACCAUUGUAGGCUUGGAAACUGUUUAACUUGAGUGCAGAAGGGGAGAGUGGAAUUCCAUGUGUAGCGGUGAAAUGCGUAGAUAUAUGGAGGAACACCGGUGGCGAAAGCGGCUCUCUGGUCUGUAACUGACGCUGAGGCUCGAAAGCGUGGGGAGCGAACAGG